CCAAAUCCUUACUCUGGCGCCAGUUAGAAGCUGCGUGGUGAAAAGUUAUGAAACUGAGGCUCUGAGAUCUGGCCAAGGUCACUCAGUUAAGUUGCAGAGAUGUGACUACCAAACAACAAUCCAGCAUACAGAAUUAAUUAAAGUCCUUUUGAAAAAAAAAAAAAAAACACCAAACUCCAACUGAAACAGGAUUGGGAAACGGAAAUUGGGAAAAGGACGAAGAUGAAUGCUGACCCAAAUCCAUACUUUCCUGGUUAUUAUACAGACAAGUGGAUCAAAGCUAUUUUUUUAUCCCAAAAGGAGAAAACAUAAACUCUAUACAUGAAAAGGUAUGUGUGGAGGUGGGGGAAGUACUCCGAGGCUAUGUAUGUGUUGGAUGAAAAAGA